rnacentral:rRNA from 1 species
CAAGGAAUUUUCCCCAAUGGGCUCACGCCUGAGGGAGCAACGCCGCGUGCAGGACGACGGCCUUCGGGUUGUAAACUGCUUUUGGGUGGGACGAUGAUGACGGUACCGCCCGAAGAAGCCCCGGCUAACUCCGUGCCAGCAGCCGCGGUAAGACGGAGGGGGCAAGCGUUGUCCGGAAUCACUGGGCGUAAAGCGCCCGUAGGCGGUGCGGUGCGUCGGUGCUGAAAGCGCCGGGCUUAACCCGGCGAG